CACGCCGUAAACGAUGAGUACUAGGUGUAGGGGGUAUCGACCCCCCCUGUGCCGCAGUAAACACAAUAAGUACUCCGCCUGGGAAGUACGAUCGCAAGAUUAAAACUCAAAGGAAUUGACGGGGACCCGCACAAGCAGCGGAGCAUGUGGUUUAAUUCGAAGCAACGCGAAGAACCUUACCUGGACUUGACAUCCCCUGAAUGACUCGUAAUGGAGGAAGCCCUACGGGGCAGGGAGACAGGUGG
rnacentral:rRNA from 1 species